rnacentral:lncRNA from 1 species
AUGUUCUGCUUAUGGAAAACUGCUCCAGAAACGCAAACCUUGCACCUGAGAGUGCAGCAGCCUCACCUGCAGCCACCAGGAGGAAAUUCCUGCUGCACAUGGAGCUGCACAGCUGCCUGCAGGAGGGAGGAAAAAAAAAAUCCCUGUGCACUGGAAUAUAAUCUCAAGGGAAAGGAAAAUGGAAGGAAUGUGGAAGCAAAGAUUUGGGAUUUUACACGUGGAGAGAAGCAGGACAGGCUCCCCAUUCUGAAGGAAAAGGGGAAAAAGGAGAGUGCAUUGCCCAAGUGCUCCAUCUGCAACUCCAUCCCAUGGAGGAGCCGGAGGCACCGCAGCAGCGCUCACAGAACCGCCUCAGGAAUCCACAGAGCAGCCAGAUGCCAGCCCUGGAAAAACAUGGGAUGUUGA